rnacentral:rRNA from 1 species
AGAGUUUGAUCCUGGCUCAGGAUGAACGCUGGCGGCGUGCUUAACACAUGCAAGUCGAACGGAGUUGAUCGGAGGAAGUUUUCGGAUGGAAUCGGAUUGACUUAGUGGCGGACGGGUGAGUAACGCGUGGGUAACCUGCCUCACACUGGGGGAUAACAGAUAGAAAUAUCUGCUAAAACCGCAUAAGCGCACGAGGUCGCAUGACCAUGUGUGAAAAACUCCGGUGGUGUGAGAUGGACCCGCGUCUGAUUAGGCAGUUGGCGGGGUAACGGCCCACCAAGUCGACGAUCGGUAGCCGG